rnacentral:lncRNA from 1 species
CUUUUAAGCUUUUUUGUUAUCAUUAUUCCCACACUUUCCUUCUAAGAUUUUAACUUCUGACAUCUUUAAAACACAUUUCUUGCCUGGCACGGUGGUGCAUGCCUAUAAUCCCAGCAGCCUGGGAGGCUGAGGCAGGAGGAUCUCCAGUUCAAAGCCAGCCUCAGCAAUUUAGCAAGGGCCUAAGCAACUUGGCAAGACCCUAUCUCAAAAUAAAUAAAAUAAAAAGAGCUGGAGAUGUGGCUCAGUGGUUAAGUGCCUCUGGGUUUAAUCCCUGGUUCAAAAACAAAACACACUUCUCUAAGGUCAUCAUAAUAAUCUUUUCUAAGUAGGAGAUGGGUGUGGUAUAGGUUUGUUUUAAAAUCCUGCCAGGCUGGGGCUCAGCAGUAGAGCCGCUUCGUACCUGCAAGACCCUGGGUUCAAUCCUCAGCACAACAUAAAAAUAAAUAAGUGAAAUAAAGGUAAAAAUAAAUGAAUAAAUAAAUUCCUGUCUACAUUAACUGCUUGUUUGGUAGGCAGGUAAGAGGAAACUAGAUAUGCCUGAAGCCUAAAUGAUUGGCAUCAAAUAUUAAUUGAAGAUAAUUUAGAAGUUAGCAUAUAAGCCAUUUUAUAAAUUAUGUAAGAUAAUUAGAAAUCAUUUUAUAAAAAUUUAUAUGCCAUAUGUAAGAUGUGUAUCUGUUACGAUUUACUAUAAGUUUAGCAAGGAGUUGAAGUACAAGAAGAAAUAAACCAAAGUAAUGAUAAGUUAUUUAAUAUAGUCUUAUUUCUAAUGAAGUUUAAAUAAAUUAAUUGCUUGAUCCAGAGUCGUGAAGUAAAAG